rnacentral:misc_RNA from 1 species
UGACGGCCAAGGCCUCCCCAGGCUUGACGCCGAGAUGCUCGAGCUCUACGUCGGUACCAGACAUGGCCGCAGCAUGAAACUCGAACAGCACGUUACAGGAUGCGGCCAGCUGAGAUAGUCUCUUGCCCACGAUUUGUAAACCGCCACCUCGAGCAUAAGCAGACACAGAGUCAUCAAUUCCGGUUAUCUUCACCCGUGGCGGCCCGCCCGGUCUCGCUGCAAGCGCCUGAAUCAGAGACACCCACUGGCUUCCUUGUGCAAUCUGGAAAUCGAUAAUGUGAACCAUGUCCUCGCCCUUCAUCGCCUCCGCAAUGGCACCAUUAGCAGACAUGUAGCCGAAUUUGAAGAACGGGCAGACCUCGUA